GGAAGUUAUGUGUUGGUGCUGUGUCUCC
rnacentral:piRNA from 1 species